rnacentral:rRNA from 1 species
UACGGAAGGCAGCAGUGGGGAAUAUUGCACAAUGGGCGAAAGCCUGAUGCAGCUAUGCCGCGUGUAUGAAGAAGGCCUUAGGGUUGUAAAGUACUUUCAUCGGGGAGGAAAAACAAAACUAAUAAUUUUAUUUCUUGACGUUACCCGAAAAAGAAGCACCGGCUAACUCCGUGCCAGCAGCCGCGGUAAUACGGAGGGUGCUAGCGUUAAUCAGAAUUACUGGGCGUAAAGAGCACGUAGGUGGUUUUUUUAAGUUCAGAUGUGAAAUCCCCUGGGCUUAACCUAGGAACUGCAUUUUGAAACUGAAAUACUAGAGUAUCGUAGAGGGAGGUAGAAUUCUAGGUGUAGCGGUGAAAUGCGUAGAUAUCUGGAGGAAUACCUGUGGCGAAAGCGGCCCUAAACGAAUACUGACACUGAGGGUGCGAAAGCGUGGGGAGCAAACAGGGAUUAGAUACC